CGCGGCUGAUGCGUCGGCAGGCUGGCGGCAUCCCCAAUGACCGCCGAAAGCAGCAGAGCCUCAGCGGUGGCAAAUGGGAAAAAAUUACGAAGCUUUACCCAGAGACGGUGGAGUUUAGCAAUCUCUCUCAACCCUGAGCUCCGCCUUGCUGAAGUCACAGCUUCCUUCCAGCACCUACAGCAAAUGACGCAGGGUCUGGCCUCCAGGGAACAGAUUCAUUCCAUGUGCAACUCUGACUCCUUCCUUAAUUGAUCCUGGACACCUAAAAAAGAAGGGCUUAAUCCUGAAAAAAGCUUAUGUGUUACCAUCCUGUCCCUGACUUCAUUCAUGGGUACUUACAGCCAUGCAGGGGAGAGACAUGUUUGUGACAGACAGAAAGGACAGCAGCAGCUCAAGGCACAGCAGAGAAACGGCACGGAGGUACACCCAAACUCUUGCCAAGCACGUACCUGGUGCAACUGCCUGGUGUAUGUUGAGAAGGCACUGGGGCAGCACUGUGACAAUGGCCAUAUGGGAUCUGUA